GACGAACGCUGGCGGCGUGCUUAACACAUGCAAGUCGAACGGAAAGGCCCUGCUUUUGUGGGGUGCUCGAGUGGCGAACGGGUGAGUAACACGUGAGUAACCUGCCCUUGACUUUGGGAUAACUUCAGGAAACUGGGGCUAAUACCGGAUAGGAGCUCCUGCUGCAUGGUGGGGGUUGGAAAGUUUCGGCGGUUGGGGAUGGACUCGCGGCUUAUCAGCUUGUUGGUGGGGUAGUGGCUUACCAAGGCUUUGACGGGUAGCCGGCCUGAGAGGGUGACCGGCCACAUUGGUACUGAGAUACGGCCCAGACUCCUACGGGAGGCAGCAGUGGGGAAUAUUGCACAAUGGGCGGAAGCCUGAUGCAGCAACGCCGCGUGCGGGAUAACGGCCUUCGGGUUGUAAACCGCUUUCGCCUGUGACGAAGCGUGAGUGACGGUAAUGGGUAAAGAAGCACCGGCUAACUACGUG
rnacentral:rRNA from 1 species